rnacentral:lncRNA from 1 species
GAGUAUCUGUACUAAGAUUAUUGUCUUGGUAUAUUUUACAGAAUACCUGAGACUGAGGAACUUGUAAAGAAGUUUUAUUUUGACUCAUGGUCCUGGAGAUCCAAGAGCCACUAACAUUUGAUUGGCCUGAGUCGAGUCGAGCCACCUGGUGGAAAAUGGAGAGGCUGCUGAGCUUGGAAGAAGAGAAAAAUGACCAAAGGGAUUGAAUCGAAGACAGACUUGCUCUUUGUGCACUUUGUAGCCGGCGUCACCCAUGCUGUCCCUUGUCCCGGCUGCCUCGGAGCUUUCAGUCCUCAGAGUUUAGCAGCCUUCUCAUCCUGCUCAUCCUCUCCAGAACACUGAACCUGCUCAGUUCUGUCACCUCCUCGGGUCUAGCAAUUGGAAUGUAUCAGAG